UGGCGUGUCAGCACGGGUGGCACGAGAAGAAUACACGCUCACCAUGUGGACACCAGAGAAUAUUCAGCUGUUAAUCAACAAUCACCAGAUACCCUCUAUAUUGUAACCUUGAGAAAUUUUAAAAAAGAUCCAGUAUCUUGUACCUUUUUCAAAUCAGCACAAGCCAGUCAAGGUAAAAAUAGGAA